rnacentral:misc_RNA from 1 species
CAACCCUCAAGCAAUGCUUGGUGUUGGGCCCCGCCGCUCACCCGGCGGGCUCUAAAAUCAGUGGCGGUGCCGUCGGGCUCUGAGCGUAGUAAUUCUUCUCGCUACAGGGUCCCGGUGGAUGCUGGCCAACAACCCCCAAUUUUCUAU